rnacentral:rRNA from 1 species
CUAAUACAUGCAAGUCGAGGGGUAACAGGUGUAGCAAUACAUGCUGACGACCGGCGCACGGGUGCGUAACACGUAUAUAAUCUACCUUUUACUGGAGAAUAGCCCGAAGAAAUUCGGAUUAAUACUCCAUAAUAAUAUUGAGGGGCAUCUCUUGAUAUUUAAAGUUCAGACGGUAAAAGAUGAGAAUGCGCGAUAUCAGCUAGUUGGUGAGGUAACGGCUCACCAAGGCGACGAUAUCUAGGGGUACUGAGAGGUUACACCCCCACACUGGUACUGAGACACGGACCAGACUCCUACGGGAGGCAGCAGUAAGGAAUAUUGGACAAUGGUCGCAAGACUGAUCCAGCCAUGCCGCGUGCAGGAUGACUGCCCUAUGGGUUGUAAACUGCUUUUAUACGGGAAUAAACCCGGGUACGUGUACCCGGCUGAAUGUACCGUAAGAAUAAGGGUCGGCUAACUUCGUGCCAGCAGCCGCGGUAAGACGAAGGACCCAAGCGUUAUCCGGAUUCAUUGGGUUUAAAGGGUGCGUAGGCGGGUUGAUAAGUCAGUGGUGAAAGCCCAACGCUUAACGUUGGAACUGCCAUUGAUACUGUCGAUCUUGAAUGUGUUUGAUGUGGGCGGAAUAUGACAUGUAGCGGUGAAAUGCUUAGAUAUGUCAUAGAACACCGAUUGCGAAGGCAGCUCACAAAGCCACUAUUGACGCUGAGGCACGAAAGCGUGGGGAUCAAACAGGAUUAGAUACCCUGGUAGUCCACGCCGUAAACUUUGAUCACUCGCUGUUGGCGAUACACUGUCAGCGGCUAAGCGAAAGCGUUAAGUGAUCCACCUGGGGAGUACGGUCGCAAGACUGAAACUCAAAGGAAUUGACGGGGGCCCGCACAAGCGGUGGAGCAUGUGGUUUAAUUCGAUGAUACGCGAGGAACCUUACCAGGGCUUGAAAGUUAGCGACUUACCGUGAAAGCGGUGAUCCCUUCGGGGCGCGAAACUAGGUGCUGCAUGGCUGUCGUCAGCUCGUGCCGUGAGGUGUUGGGUUAAGUCCCGCAACGAGCGCAACCCCUACUUCUAGUUGCCAACAGGUAAUGCUGGGGACUCUAGAGGAACUGCCCGCGCAAGCGGUGAGGAAGGUGGGGACGACGUCAAGUCAUCACGGCCCUUACGUCCUGGGCUACACACGUGCUACAAUGGCGGAGACAACGGGCAGCUACACUGCGAAGUGAUGCUUAUCUCUAAACUCCGUCUCAGUUCGGAUUGAAGUCUGCAACUCGACUUCAUGAAGCUGGAAUCGCUAGUAAUCGCGUAUCAGCAAUGACGCGGUGAAUACGUUCCCGGGCCUUGUACACACCGCCCGUCAAACAAUGGAAGCUGGGAGUACCUAAAGUCAGUAGUCGCAAGACGCUGCCUAGGGUAAAACCGGUAACUGGUGUUAAGUCGUAACAAGGUAGCUGUACCGGAAGGUGCGGCUG